GUAGAGAAAUGAAAAUUAAAUAGAAAGGAAAGAAAGGUACACCCACCCAAACAUUUAAAGUGCUUAUUUUUGUUAUAUUUCAAAUUGGAGGGUAAGAAAGGGAAAGGGAGUCAUACAACUGUUUAAUUUUAUUUUUUUUUCCAGUUUUAUCAUUAUGUAAAAAAGAUAAAUCUAUUAAAUGCUCUUUAUUUAUUAUAAUCUCACCAAUCAUACCAACCUCAUUAUCUUCAACUAUAUCUUUGCCCCAUACGGUUUUCGCAACAGAGUUUUUUUCAUUCAUCUUUCUCUACCGAGAUUUGUAAUGUUAUUUAUUUUAUUUUAUUAUUUUAAUAGUGUUAAUCUUAUUGUUUUUACUUUAUAUUAUAGGUUGUAUUGUAACUACUUUUAUUUUAUCUUUGUUGCUUAUUGAUGUACGUAAUACUGUUUUACUUUUAUUUUAUUUUAUUUAUUUUUAUUUUAUCUUUAAUUAAAUAAAUUUAUUUAUUCACAUUUGUGAUUUUGUUGGAGAUAAUUACUUGUGUUAAUUGCAUACAGUCAAUUUAAUAAGAAUAAAAUUAUUAUGCGCCUAUGAACAGUCAAGUAAAUAGUGCAAUUGAAGGGUGAUUUUGCAAUUAUUUGGUCAUUUGUGCCCCUUUCUCAAUCGUUGCCAGUGCAUUUACUUUUACACUCUGCUACUCUUGCAAAUAGUGAGUAAAAACGACGCCAUUUUAUGAAAUUGUCGUUUCACAACUUAUUAUAAGAAGUUACUUUACUGUCCUUAUGCACAUGCUUGCUCUCCCUAAAAUGCCCCCGUUUUAUGUAUCUCUAGAAGGUAUUUUACAAUACCCAUAUAUCACUAGCCUAAAUCAAUUCUCUUCUUAUCUACCAACUACCUUCUCUUAUGUCGCUCCUUCACAAACUCUAGAUUUCUUCAGUCAAGCUGAUUUCUUCAUUCAUUUUCUAUUCCAUUGAUAAGAAAAUUGAGUUACUUCAUUUUUUCUUUAUUUUUAUUUUAAGAUUUUGAAAACUCAAAUGGGUUACCUAAUUUUUUAGUUCUUAGAAAGUUUUUCUCCUCAUGUUUACUAGUUGUCAACCAUGUUUUAACAUUAAUUUUUCCUGAAUCCAUGAGUUUAUUUAGUGGUUUUUGUUAUUUUCUUUCUACCUCUUUUAGUUAGAUAUUAAUUUCAGUGUUUUUGCAUUGGCUUCUAUUAUGCGAUUUCAAUCUCUCAUUGGUGCGUGCGUCGGGUAAGUACGAUUUUUUUUUUUUUUUUGUGUUGUAAAAGAAUUUGAUUUCACUUGCUUUCUUUAUAAUGGAACUGACUUUUUGGUCUUGCAGGUGUUCUUUUCUGGUACUUGAUCUAUUCUGCCUUUUGGUCUCUAGUGAAUAUAGAUCUUUUUUUUUUUUUUUUUUAAAGUAACUUAUUGAUCGUUAUUUUGAAGUUUGAAUUGAUUUUCUUAGGUUUUAUUUGUGCCCUUGUUGAUAUUUUAUUUUUUAAAUCUUUGUUUUUGUUUAAAAGUCUAUAUCUUUUGUUUAGGAGAAGAUAAGGCAAAGCAAAAAUAAGUUUUCAAAAAAUUAACUGAUGAUUUAAUGAAUUUGACUAUGAUUUUAUCUUUGUAAUUUUUGUGGGUGGCAGAUCAAUUAUUUAUAGUAAUGAUACUAUUUCAAGAGAGGUGACAGAUCUAUUCCUUAAACAAGAUCAAUAUGAUUUGCACUGAAGGACCUCAUCGAGAUAUAUACGUGCAUUGCGAAAUGAUCUACCCUCAUUAUCUAUAACUUGGCAGAAAACCGUAGAACCAGCCUAAUCAAGCCCUAGAGUUGAUAGACUUUGCAGCACUUUUACCCUAUUUUUUUCGGAUUCUAUUGGAUAUUAGCGACAUUUUAUGUACUAUAACUUAUUUUAUGCCUUUUCCUUUAACUUUUAGUUGUAGGAGUGUUGUAAUAGUUAGAUUUACUUCUUUUUUUGUACUUUAAUUCCUAUAUUGUAUUGAUGGAUGCCAAA